UUUGCUAGCUAGCAGUAAAGGAUGUUUCAAACAAUUUUAUCUGGACAACAAUUUAAGCAAAACACGCUGCACAAAAAUUUAAAAACCUACCGUAUAAAUCUUAGGAAUAGCAUUACAACACCCCAAUAGUCUCACAUCAAUGACAAAAUGAUUUUUAUUAGAAUAUAUGAGAUCUACACACUAAUAAUAAUAAUUGGGUCUAAGAAUUUAGUUAUUAUUGCUAGCGGAUUAGAUCGUUACAAUUGGAAUCAAUCAAAUAUCAGCCAGAAGUGUGUAAGAGCUAAGUGCUAUUCGGGGCAAAGUGCUACCGGCAUGUAUAUCUGUGAUCUAGGAACUAAGUGCUAUACAGCGCAAAGUGCUACUGAUCCGCUAUCUGUGAUCUGGGCAUACGGGUUUGGACCUUGACAAGGACAUCAGGAUCUAAAAAAGGUUUGGACCUUGACG
rnacentral:lncRNA from 1 species